AUAUCAAUAAGCGGAGGAAAAGAAACCAACAGGGAUUACCUCAGUAACGGCGAGUGAAGCGGUAACAGCUCAAAUUUGAAAUCUGGCUCUUUCAGGGUCCGAGUUGUAAUUUGUAGAAGAUGCUUCGGGUGUGGCUCCGGUCUAAGUUCCUUGGAACAGGACGUCAUAGAGGGUGAGAAUCCCGUAUGUGACUGGUUGCCUUCGCCCAUGUGAAGCUCUUUCGACGAGUCGAGUUGUUUGGGAAUGCAGCUCUAAAUGGGUGGUAAAUUUCAUCUAAAGCUAAAUAUUGGCCAGAGACCGAUAGCGCACAAGUAGAGUGAUCGAAAGAUGAAAAGCACUUUGGAAAGAGAGUUAAACAGUACGUGAAAUUGUUGAAAGGGAAGCGCUUGCAACCAGACUUGCACGCCGUCGAUCAUCUCAGGUUCUCCUGGGUGCACUCGGCGGUGUUCAGGCCAGCAUCGGUUUCGGUGGUUGGAUAAAGGCCUUGGGAAUGUGGCUCCUCUCGGGGAGUGUUAUAGCCCUCGGUGCAAUGCAGCCUACUGGGACCGAGGACCGCGCUUCGGCUAGGAUGCUGGCGUAAUGGUUGUAAGCGACCCGUCUUGAAACACGGACCAAGGAGUCUAACAUCUAUGCGAGUGUUUGGGUGUUAAACCCAUACGCGUAAUGAAAGUGAACGGAGGUGAGAACCCUUUAGGGUGCAUCAUCGACCGAUCCUGAUGUCUUCGGAUGGAUUUGAGUAAGAGCAUAGCUGUUGGGACCCGAAAGAUGGUGAACUAUGCCUAAAUAGGGUGAAGCCAGAGGAAACUCUGGUGGAGGCUCGCAGCGGUUCUGACGUGCAAAUCGAUCGUCAAAUUUGGGUAUAGGGGCGAAAGACUAAUCGAACCAUCUAGUAGCUGGUUCCUGC
rnacentral:rRNA from 1 species